rnacentral:sRNA from 1 species
UAUGAUUAAACAUCGACUACAAUAAAAG